rnacentral:misc_RNA from 1 species
UUCUCCUCGCUAUAAGGCACCUGCAGCAGAAUAAGAUAAGGACAGAAUAAGAGUCGUAUAUAAUUUCCAAUUGGAUGCAAAAUGGCUGCUUCUUCUAUAAUGUUACUUCACUCUAUAUUUAACUCUUGCACUUGUAAUCACUUUCAACAGCCAUUAUAAAAAUGCAUGCUUCACCUUAGUUUUAGAAAGGAAAAUUUACAGUAGAGUAUGUUCUGAGUUGAAUAAUCUAUGCUCAAGCAAUAAUUGCAGAGGGCAUUCAGAUAGUGUAUAGCGGCAGAAAUUUACCCUCUUGCUUUUUAUCCACUUUCUUCUUAAUUUACAAACUAUACUGAUUGGCCCCCAACAUUUUAAUGUUAAAAGGAUCCAGCCAAAUAAAACUACUAAUGUUCUUAUCAGUAAAGAUCUAAACAUCAACCCAUGCUUAUAACCGGUGA